UACGUAGGGGGCGAGCGUUGUCCGGAGUUACUGGGCGUAAAGCGCACGCAGGCGGUCUGCUAAGUUUGGAGUGACAGUUGGUGGCUUAACUGCCAAAGUGCUUCGAAAACUGACAGACUUGAGGGCUUCAGAGGGACACGGAAUUCCGGGUGGAGUGGUGAAAUGCGUAGAGAUGUGGAGGAAUACCGAUGGCGAAGGCAGCCCCCUGGGAUAACACUGACGCUCAUGCACGAAAGCGUGGGGAGCAAACAGG
rnacentral:rRNA from 1 species